rnacentral:rRNA from 1 species
AUGAACGCUAGCUACAGGCUUCACACCUGCCAGUCGAGGGGCAGCAUGGUCUUAGCUUGCUAAGGCCGAUGGCGACCGGCGCACGGGUGAGUAACACGUAUCCAACCUGCCGUCUACUCUUGGACAGCCUUCUGAAAGGAAGAUUAAUACAAGAUGGCAUCAUGAGUCCGCAUGUUCACAUGAUUAAAGGUAUUCCGGUAGACGAUGGGGAUGCGUUCCAUUAGAUAGUAGGCGGGGUAACGGCCCACCUAGUCUUCGAUGGAUAGGGGUUCUGAGAGGAAGGUCCCCCACAUUGGAACUGAGACACGGUCCAAACUCCUACGGGAGGCAGCAGUGAGGAAUAUUGGUCAAUGGGCGAGAGCCUGAACCAGCCAAGUAGCGUGAAGGACGACUGCCCUAUGGGUUGUAAACUUCUUUUAUAAAGGAAUAAAGUCGGGUAUGGAUACCCGUUUGCAUGUACUUUAUGAAUAAGGAUCGGCUAACUCCGUG